UGUGCAAGCAAAGGGGCUUGAAUUUGGAUGCCCAGCACCCAUGUGAUAGCCCGGCCUGCACCUUUGUAAGCCCAGUGCUGUGGAUACAGAGUCAGGGAGAUCCUGGAGCUGGUCAGACAGUCCUGCUGAACUGGUGACUUUCAGACUCAGUGAGAGAAUCUGGUUCAAUGGAAAAGGGCAGUGUCCACAGAGGCCAGAAUGGGAUGUCGGCUUCCCCGGCACUGGAGUCACAAGUGGUUGUGAACCGCAGUGCAUGGGUACUGGGAACAAAACUAUGGUCCUCUACAAGACCAGCGAGUGCUCUUAACCACUAAGCCACUUCUCUUUCCCCCAUUUCUGGGAGUUUUAAGUAUAGUGAACCCAGCAGAAAAGGAGAGGGACAUGGCAGCCACUGAGAAGGCCAGGACUCACAGCUAUGGAACGGACGGGACAUGCCAGUCUGCGCUGAUCACCCAGGGAAGCACCAGAGAAGGAAGACCUUGCUGGAACUACAGAAAGUGAACUGGCGGCUCCAAGCAUGCUUCCCACCUAGGAUUCUCAGAUGGAGGUGCCACGGUGUGAAGACCCACCCAACUUGAAGAGCGAAAAUACUGACCUGCUCAUUUAAAACACAAGCAAACUCUGACAGGCCACAGGCCUCUGGAAGGGGAAUUUGCCUUCCAGAGCCCAACUAUUCUCUGCUCUGACUCGUGCAGAAGGAGCAAAUGGUGCCCUGGGCACACUCGUCCACACAUCAGCCUGCAAUUGCCAGUAAAUCACCGCUGCAGUAGCUACUAGCAUCCAUAAAGCCUUUUGAGUUUUACAAGGUGUUUAUAAUGGGUAACUCACUAUGAUUUAGAUGGAAAACAUGAGUCAGCUCCUGAGACAAAGCUGAUAUGGGGACACUGGCCUUGUGGGAUGACCUCUAGCAAGCAUCCAAAUAAAUCACAGUCUCCCUCUGGGCCAAAGCUG